AGCACACAUACCAAGAGUCAACGAUACUGAGGAGAAUAACAUUGGUCAUGCCCUUGAGGAGAUAAGAUUUCCUGUGGCAGUGAUUUUGAAAUUACAGGAUUCUUUUCCCAUAUAGGUUAUUACAGAAUAUUGAGUAGAGUUCCUUGUGCUAUACAAUAGGAAGUGUGCUGUGUGCCCGGGAGGUUCUCCAGGACAGCUGUCCUCCAUGUGCUGAUGCUAUGAUCACAAGGAGCCUCCAUGGUGGACGUUUCCUCCAUGAUCACUGAAGGGGAAGAGUCGGGCUGGACAGCAAGAGUGAGCUGGGGCCUGGACUACUGGCCAAAAAUGCUUCUACUCAAGAUGUGACCCAAGCCACUUCUGAUCACAUUUUCCUGCCAAAACAAAUCUUAUGAUUUUGCCUGUCUUCCCAUGUGUCAGGAUACAGAGAGGAAGAGGAUCAGAUAUUGGUAAACAGUAAUAAUGCUCAUCAAUGCAUGAUAAGAUAAACAUCACAGAAAAAAGUCACAAAGAAACAGCUGAGGGCAUGCCAGAGUAGGAAGCAAUCACACUUAGGAUGUUAUGUAAUAAAAGACAGUUCUUCUGUUUCUGUCAAUAA